UGUCGUAAUUUUGUUGCAAAGGUUUGCUCGAGUUUGCGGCAAACUUCGCGCAAAGUUUGCGUCAUUUUGCUAGCUGGGCUGGCUCAGUGCACCAGGAGGUAGGGUCUGCUCACUUCGCAGGCUGGGAAAGCUCUGUCUUCUUAUCGCGAGUGGAGGGUUUAUGUACCCUCCACUCGGUGGUGAGGGGAGCAGAGAAGAGUGGAGGCAACGCGCGAGGUAGGGGGUAACGGCCUUAUCUCCGUUCUGGCGGCAGCGGAGGAACGGCUCGUUACAAGAUCUUACAGCAGAAAUAAAGGAAUUAUAGUUAGAAUUUACUUGCUUUUUUGCUUUUAAACCUAUUAUACGUGGAAUUUUGCUCUGUAUUAUGGAAAAGCUCAUUUCAUCCACAUUAAAUAUACGAUCAGGAGUAUAAUUGUAUUCCUCGUAUACUUUUUCUAACAUUUUAUAAAACGGACACAGAUUCUUUGUUAAAACCUAUUACUCUGAAGUGUGAAGUACCACUUGGUUUGUGAAUAGUUAAGUUUGGAUGUCUUUUGAUAAAAUGAUGAAACCAGGCUUUACUAGCUUCUCCGGUUUGACCGAAAGGAUGUUUUAAUUUAUUUUUUAUGGCUAGUUGAUAAGAGCCAGCUUUUUCACGUCACCCCUUGUUAAACCAAAAUAUCGGUUUCUCAUUAUUAGUAGAUAAUCUACUAAUUGUAUUUCCAUUUUUACAGAAAUGAUUGGCUUUUGCCUUUUGUAUUUACGGAUUCUUCUGAUGGCAAAUUUUUUGCAACGAGUCUUCGAAUUAUAGUUCCAGGAACGUUAAACAAAUUUGCAACUCUUUUGUAGCUUAAGUUUUUGUUCUUUACAGAGUCGAUUGCUAAUUGCAUGACUUUUGCAUCUCAUUUGUUCCUGUAUUUUUGUUUUUUAUUUAGCAUCUGUCUUAGCAUCUAUUACACAAAAUAAUAAUAAAUAUAACUUGGGUAUUAUAUUACACAAACAAAAAAGUAAUUAAUUCAACAAAAUAUGUAGUUGAGGGCUGUCAACUACAGAUAUACUCAUUACAUAAUAAUUUAUGCUAUUGCAAUAUUAAUGUGGCGGCACGCCAUAACGCGACGCGCGCGCAGCGUCCGCGGCUUCAGUGAUAGCGUGCGCGCGGCCACCACUAGGCGAGAGCGCGGCGCCCCUUCUCAGAAGUCAAGUGAUAGCGCUUGGAUUACAUAAGGAGACCACCCACGGCGAGAAAGCAUCCUCCUUUGCUUUGUGUGGAGAGUUCUAUCUGGGCCUAUACAAGCAGUACGUUUUUUUAAGAAACACCUAAGGGUCUUCGCACCUGAUAUUCGGUCGAAGUCUCCUCCGGGAGACAAUCAGCCUCCAACAUUCUGUCUCGCUGCAGGAAGCUGGCCCACCGCGGUUUUCGAACAAAUUCGGUGCACCCAGGACGGUCUGUUUAAGACUAUCCAGCAGCCCGCUACGGAGAAAGUCUACGUCCCGUGGAGACUCAUCUGGAUUGCCUUCUCCCAAGAGAAAUUGAAGGAUCCCAGACUUCAAUCACGGGAUCCUCGACUUUGCCCCGGUCAACAGAGGCACGCAAACGGUCAGACGCGGAGCGGUCACCAAGCCUACGCAGACCGCAAUUUCCGGAUCAAAAAUAACGGUCAACCGGCCAAUGCAGACUACAGCUUUUGGACCGCAAAUAGUGUCUAAUACCACAACCCGAGGCACGACUCCUGAGACCACAAUCGGGUCCCCCGUCGCACCAACGACGCCGAUCUUGCUUCCCCAGACACCCGGAAAGCGCAUCCCUCGCUCCGCGCUAAGGAAACAUAAAAAGGUCUUGAAGGACCUCUUCGAAAGCGACAGUGACGAGGACUAAGGAGUCCUAACCUUCUCUAGGCACCUACGAGUGCCGCCUAAUCCUUCCAUCAUUGAAGCAAGGCCACUUAGGGCCAAUUUCAUUAAAUAUCUUGUAAUCGGCGAUUAGCAAAACUUUGUUUUACAUAAACGAAGAUUUUAAUCUCGAUUAUGAUCGAUCGAGUUUCACCGGUUUUACAGUAACGCAAUUAACUCUAGUUUAGUAAAUCGAAGUUUAAGGAUAAACGAACACCGCCAACGUCGCAAAUAUAAGGAUAUAACCUAAUAUUCGCCUGCAUUUUGUGAGAUAGUGAAAGUGAAUACUUUUACCGGAAAAAAUGUUUAGUUCAAUUUUUAGUGUCAAGCGUAAAAGAGAUCCAACAUUUCAACUUGCGGAAAAAAAUAAUUUAAUUGACAUAGUUUCUAAGCACUACAAUAUUGUAGAGUGCAAAAAGACUGAUACUCUCAGCACUUGUACCAAAAACGAAGAGUGAAUGAAAAUUGCUUCAGAAUUCAAUGCAAGUUCUACGUUCACAGACAGGGAAUCGCAGGUGCUUAAAAAUCUUUGGGAAAACUAAAAGAAAAAAGCUAAAUUUGUUAUGACGCCACAGAAUCAAAGCAUUUUUGCCGCAGAUAAGUUGCAUAUUAAAAUCACAAAUUCUAAAUGCAUUUCAGCAUAGGUAAACUUCUAAUCACCAAUUCUUGCUCUAGGAGGCGGGCCACCAAAGAAAUUUAAGAAAGAUCCAACUCUGGAAAGUCAUUAUAUUGAUUUGAACCAAUGUUCAAGAUUUUGUGAAUACUUUUGACAAUGAUGGACCUAUUAUUUCAGUUUCUAAAGAAAAUGACGAGGAUACUGAUAUUACUCAUGACGAAGUAGAAAAUAUCCCUGAGGAUACAUUAAAUGGGGAUUGGUCGACCUAUCACCAUCAAUGCUCAAAAUACCUACAGCCUCUGUUCUUCGUCAAAAUCAAGAUUUGAACAUUAUAAAUAUACGAAUUGAAUAUGUCGCUGAUUCUGAAGACAUUUUGAAAGAAAACACACAAUAUUUUACUUUUCGAAGGAGGCCAAUCCUCAAACAGUCAGAGGGAGAUGAACUUGCCCACACAAAAAUAAAGACAUUGAUUGCUAGCAAUGAGCAAGCAACAGAACAACAUGAAAUAACACUGAGAAUUCUGGCGUUGCAAGAAAAACAAGAACAAGAAAAAUUAAAACAAGGGAUUGAGAAAACAGAGCAAGAGAAACUGCGUACUGAAAUGCUUCGAGAAGAAAUGCAAAA